rnacentral:lncRNA from 1 species
CUGGGCAAUGCCAAUUCUGACCAGCCCAUGGAUGACAAGGAGUUGGUGUUAGGGUUUAAGUAUGUUUGCAAGUGGUGGCUGGGGCCUCACCCAGGAGCAGAGCUGAUUCUACUAUUAAGCAUGGCACUGUUCCAUUUCUACUCUCCCAGCACUCAAUCAAUCUUCACUUGAAGAGUGAGGGCCAGAUCCUUUGGCAUAGCAGGAAAGCACUGAGCCUCUUAUAGAAGGAAGUUCUUCUAGCUUGGCAUUUCCCAUCUUGGUGGUCUGGGAAAGCCAUAGAAUAUUGCUUGGUAUUUAUCUUCCAGAAAGAAAGAUGGAAGCAGAUAGCAACAAAACAAAACAACACAAGCAACAAUAAAUUCUCUUUCACACGAGCUCCUAGAGAGGAUCAAAGAAACAGAUAAAAAAUAUGCUGUAAACAGCAAGUUUAUAUGUGAAAAAUGAGAUGUUGUUAAUAAAAAAAUGAAGGUGUGACUUUUCUUGGAAAGUUCGACACUUUAAGGGGGAUCUUGGAAGCAGGAAGCCCCUUCAUUUUCUACAUGAGUGAAGCUACAGUGGAGAAACAAUGAUCUUGAAUUAGGCUGGUAUUUUGAGUUAGGAAUUUCUCCCCAACCCUCCAGUCCUCUGGUGUAGGCACUUCCCUGCCAGGUUCUGCAGCUAUUGCAUUCCCAGAA